GCUACUUCGGUGUAAGACGUAGAUUUCAAAAAGUUGAUGCUGACGAGUGGUGAUAUCGUGCCUGCGUGUUUCUGUUUUCGAGUACUUUUGUGUGGUUGUCGAUGCUAACGUGAAGGACGAGUGGCGUCGUGCUUGAUCGAUCCAGCUUUUCUAUAAAAUUAAGUGAGUGACAUUACCAAACAUCGUAAAACAACGGCUCUUGAGGGAUUGCUACUUUUCCUGCUUGAGAAGUCUGCAAGUUUGCUCAAGAUAUGCCUGGAUACGAAUUCUGUGAACUGCUGCACCAAAGGUGUAAAGAUUGGAAUUCUGACUGUGGAGGAAGAUGAUGUUGCCGGUGUUACAUCGCAGCCCACUGUUAUCAACAUGGCAAUAAUCUUGGAGGAGGCCAUUGUGCUUGAGGACAUUAAAGAUCUUCCAUCUGCAUUUGCAUAUUUGUUUGGCCUCUUAUAUGCACUUAACAUGGAAUAUCCGAAAGAAUUGAAGUACACUUUUGAAGUCAUCAUGGAUCUAGGUGGUACUUGCUCAGCUAGAGUGCAGUCAUUGAAAUCCAAACUUUGCUAAAUGGAUGAAGCCACUUAAAUGACGUUCUUGCGUUGGCUUUUUGUUAAUACUUUUAUACUUAAUGACUACAAAAACACCUGUUUUCAUUCAGUGUGCUAAUUACUGCUAAGGUUUUUGUUUAUUUGUUUGUUUGAUUGUUUCAGCCUUUGCCUUAAAGGGAAAAUUCACCCAAAAAUGAAAGUUCUUUCAUUAU